GACGAACGCUGGCGGCGUGCCUAACACAUGCAAGUCGAGCGAGGUCCAUCCGGUAGCAAUACCGGUGAAGACCUAGCGGCGAACGGGUGAGUAACACGUGAGGAACCUGCCCCGAAGACCGGGAUAACCCGAGGAAACUCGGGGUAAUACCGGAUACCCCCAUCGGACCGCAUGAUCUGAUGGGGAAAUGUCUUUUCGCUUCGGGAGGGCCUUGCGGCCUAUCAGCUUGUUGGUGGGGUAACGGCCCACCAAGGCAUCGACGGGUAGCUGGUCUGAGAGGACGAUCAGCCACACUGGGACUGAGACACGGCCCAGACUCCUACGGGAGGCAGCAGUAGGGAAUCUUGCGCAAUGGGCGAAAGCCUGACGCAGCAACGCCGCGUGCGGGAUGAAGGCCUUCGGGUUGUAAACCGCUUUCAGCAGGGUCGAAAAUGACGGUACCUGCAGAAGAAGCCCCGGCCAACUACGUGCCAGCAGCCGCCGUAAUAC
rnacentral:rRNA from 1 species